GACGAACGCUGGCGGCGUGCUUAACACAUGCAAGUCGAACGAUGAAGCCGGAGCUUGCUCUGGUGAAUUAGUGGCGAACGGGUGAGUAACACGUGAGUAACCUGCCCUUGACUCUGGGAUAACUGCUAGAAAUGGUAGCUAAUACCGGAUACGACCCUCGGAGGCAUCUUCAGGGGGUGGAAAGAAUUUCGGUCAAGGAUGGACUCGCGGCCUAUCAGCUAGUUGGUGAGGUAACGGCUCACCAAGGCGACGACGGGUAGCCGGCCUGAGAGGGUGACCGGCCACACUGGGACUGAGACACGGCCCAGACUCCUACGGGAGGCAGCAGUGGGGAAUAUUGCACAAUGGGCGCAAGCCUGAUGCAGCAACGCCGCGUGAGGGAUGACGGCCUUCGGGUUGUAAACCUCUUUUAGUAGGGAAGAAGCGAAGGUGACGGUACCUGCAGAAAAAGCACCGGCUAACUACGUGCCAGCAGCCGCCGCAG
rnacentral:rRNA from 1 species